CCUACGGGUGGCAGCAGUGGGGAAUAUUGCACAAUGGGGGAAACCCUGAUGCAGCGACGCCGCGUGAGUGAAGAAGUAUUUCGGUAUGUAAAGCCCUAUCAGCAGGGAAGAAAAUGACGGUACCUGACUAAGAAGCCCCGGCUAACUACGUGCCAGCAGCCGCGGUAAUACGUAGGGGGCAAGCGUUAUCCGGAUUUACUGGGUGUAAAGGGAGCGUAGACGGCAGUACAAGUCUGGAGUGAAAGGCCGGGGCUUAACCCCGGGACUGCUUUGGAAACUGUACAGCUAGAGUGCAGGAGAGGUAAGUGGAAUUCCUAGGGUAGCGGUGAAAUGCGUAGAUAUUAGGAGGAACACCAGUGGCGAAGGCGGCUUACUGGACUGUAACUGACGUUGAGGCUCGAAAGCGUGGGGAGCAAACAGGAUUAGAUACCCUUGUAGUC
rnacentral:rRNA from 1 species